UUGGCGCGCUCGCCGCUGAUCAUCUCGUGGGCCUUGCGCUCGGCCUCUGACACGGCCUUCUGCAGCUCCGACACCGCCUGACGCUUCACCUCGUUCACCGCCUCCUCUGGAAGGAGCGCACGCACACACGGCUCUGCUGCCUGGACUGGCCACUGGAAGCGGCGGCAGAGGCCACGCUUUUCUUGAGCUCCUCGGCGUCGCUGUAGCGCCGGAUCCAGUAGUUGAGCUCCUCGCGGUCGGCCUCCUGGCAGCGUCGCAGCACCGUCAGUGAGCGCCGCGUCUUCUCCACCAUGUCCAUGAUGCAGUUGAGCAGCUGCGGGACACCACAAGACGCCAGGUUGACGUGGCCAGCAAAAAAGGUUGCCUUCAUCAACAUGGCCAAUAUCAAUAUCCAAUUCAGCUAUUCAUUAAAAUAUUUUAAACCUA